AACCGGGCAUUUGCGAGCAGGCAGACGGAGGAAGCAGAGCAAUGGAGAGAGAGCGCGAAGAAGGAAUGGGCAACGACGGCGAACGCGACGGCAGGAGGGGCACUGGUUAGCUGCCGCUCCGUUGCCGUAGCAGCCGCCGCUGUUGCAACCGCGGAUCGGAAGAGGAGGCUGAGGCACCGCCGCGAGAAGUCCGAAUCGCGGCAGCUCCGCUACAUAUCAUCCGCCGGGCUGUUCCUAUUUCUCUUUCUGCAGGGAAAGGCGAGCGCUGCUGCAGCAAGAACACUUGGGGGAGGCACUGCACGGACCUGUUGCAUUGGGCGUCCCAGUUGCUCCAGGUGACAAGGAGGCGAAGUGGUGGACAAGAAAUGGAUGCCUUGCCUUGCGGCUGAUGAAGCUUCUGUAGUAGAAAAAGUUUUGGCUUCUAGAAAGAAAGUUCUGUGACACUUUGACUCUGAUUAUAAUAGAAGUCAGUGCACUACAGAACUUUCUCUUCAGGGGCUGCAGCGACCAAGGAGUUAACAAAGAACUCCUGAAACUCAGGUGGACACGUCACUGCCAGCUGCUUUCAACAAAAUGGGAUGGAAAAGCUGAAAGCAACUCUUAUGGGAAAGUGGCACUUCUUUAGUAGUUAUGAAAAAGCACUAAGUAUAUUCCUGUGUUUGAACAAAAGCUUAGUUCUUUUGAAACUUGGCCUUUUAGGUUCUGAUAUUUUAAAUAGCACAGCAUCUGGUUGUUAUUUACAUGUCCUCUUUGAUAGAAAUCUAAAAGAGGACACUUGACAAAAUGCUGUAAAUUGUUAAAUUCAUCUUAGUGAUUGUGUAUAUUGGUGAUGCUAAAAGACUGAAGUUUAAUUAUUGCCUUUGAAUGUAAACCUUUAUUAAAUUUGAAAUUCUUAUAGCAUUGAUUAGUUAUGCAAUGGCUUGAAAAGAUUUUCAGCCAUAAACCUAUUUAGAAAUCUGUGGUAUACUAUAUAUUUCUGAAUUAAAUGAUUGUUCUGCAUUGGAUGUGCUUGCUUCUUAAUUACUUACCAAUAACAGGUAAACUUUAACCUUUUAGUUGUGAACACUAUGAAGACUUUUAAAAGUUCAUAUUUAAUGUGUUUGGGAAAAAUUGUAUUUAACACCUAAGUUAUUAGACCAGCUCUUCCUGAACUAUCUACUUUUAAUAAAGUGCACAUUAAUAAAAAUGAUUGAAUUUUUAAAUAAAACAAAUAUUUAUU